rnacentral:rRNA from 1 species
UACAGAGGGUGCAAGCGUUGUUCGGAAUUACUGGGCGUAAAGCGUGCGUAGUCGGUAUUGAGAGUCGCGGGUGAAAUCCCAAGCUUAACUUGGAACUGCCUGCGAGACCUCAGUACUAGAGUGUGAGAGGGAUAGUGGAAUACCAGUGUAGCGGUGAAAUGCGUAGAGAUUGGGUGGAACACCGGUGACGAAGGCGGCUAUCUGGCUCACAACUGACGAUCAGGCACGAAAGCGUGGGGAGCAAACAGG